UUAAGCGACUAAGCGUACACGGUGGAUGCCCUGGCAGUCAGAGGCGAUGAAGGACGUGCUAAUCUGCGAAAAGCGUCGGUAAGGUGAUAUGAACCGUUAUAGCCGGCGAUGUCCGAAUGGGGAAACCCAGUGCAAUUCGUUGCACUAUCGUUAACUGAAUACAUAGGUUAACGAGGCGAACCGGGGGAACUGAAACAUCUAAGUACCCCGAGGAAAAGAAAUCAACCGAGAUUCCCCCAGUAGCGGCGAGCGAACGGGGAGCAGCCCGGAGUCUGAAUCAGCUUGUGUGUUAGUGGAAGCGUCUGGAAAGUCGCAGGGUACAGGGUGAUACUCCCGUACACUAAAGCACACAGGUUGUGAACUCGAAGAGUAGGGCGGGACACGUGGUAUCCUGUCUGAAUAUGGGGGGACCAUCCUCCAAGGCUAAAUACUCCUGACUGACCGAUAGUGAACCAGUACCGUGAGGGAAAGGCGAAAAGAACCCCGGCGAGGGGAGUGAAAAAGAACCUGAAACCGUGUACGUACAAGCAGUAGGAGCCCACUUGUUGGGUGACUGCGUACCUUUUGUAUAAUGGGUCAGCGACUUAUAUUCUGUAGCAAGGUUAACCGUAUAGGGGAGCCGCAGGGAAACCGAGUCUUAACUGGGCGUUAAGUUGCAGGGUAUAGACCCGAAACCCGGUGAUCUAGCCAUGGGCAGGUUGAAGGUUGGGUAACACUAACUGGAGGACCGAACCGACUAAUGUUGAAAAAUUAGCGGAUGACUUGUGGCUGGGGGUGAAAGGCCAAUCAAACCGGGAGAUAGCUGGUUCUCCCCGAAAGCUAUUUAGGUAGCGCCUCGUGAAUUCAUCUUCGGGGGUAGAGCACUGUUUCGGCUAGGGGGUCAUCCCGACUUACCAACCCGAUGCAAACUACGAAUACCGAAGAAUGUUAUCACGGGAGACACACGGCGGGUGCUAACGUCCGUCGUGAAGAGGGAAACAACCCAGACCGCCAGCUAAGGUCCCAAAGUCAUGGUUAAGUGGGAAACGAUGUGGGAAGGCCCAGACAGCCAGGAUGUUGGCUUAGAAGCAGCCAUCAUUUAAAGAAAGCGUAAUAGCUCACUGGUCGAGUCGGCCUGCGCGGAAGAUGUAACGGGGCUAAACCAUGCACCGAAGCUGCGGCAGCGACACUAUGUGUUGUUGGGUAGGGGAGCGUUCUGUAAGCCGUUGAAGGUGGCCUGUGAGGGUUGCUGGAGGUAUCAGAAGUGCGAAUGCUGACAUAAGUAACGAUAAUGCGGGUGAAAAACCCGCACGCCGGAAGACCAAGGGUUCCUGUCCAACGUUAAUCGGGGCAGGGUGAGUCGACCCCUAAGGCGAGGCCGAAAGGCGUAGUCGAUGGGAAACAGGUUAAUAUUCCUGUACUCGGUGUUACUGCGAAGGGGGGACGGAGAAGGCUAUGUUGGCCGGGCGACGGUUGUCCCGGUUUAAGCAUGUAGGCGGAUGUUCCAGGUAAAUCCGGAACGUCACUAACGCUGAGGUGUGAUGACGAGGCACUACGGUGCUGAAGUGACAAAUGCCCUGCUUCCAGGAAAAGCCUCUAAGCAUCAGGUAACAUCAAAUCGUACCCCAAACCGACACAGGUGGUCAGGUAGAGAAUACCAAGGCGCUUGAGAGAACUCGGGUGAAGGAACUAGGCAAAAUGGUGCCGUAACUUCGGGAGAAGGCACGCUGAUGGUAGGUGAAGUGACUUGCUCAUGGAGCUGAAAUCAGUCGAAGAUACCAGCUGGCUGCAACUGUUUAUUAAAAACACAGCACUGUGCAAACACGAAAGUGGACGUAUACGGUGUGACGCCUGCCCGGUGCCGGAAGGUUAAUUGAUGGGGUUAUCCUCGCGGAGAAGCUCUUGAUCGAAGCCCCGGUAAACGGCGGCCGUAACUAUAACGGUCCUAAGGUAGCGAAAUUCCUUGUCGGGUAAGUUCCGACCUGCACGAAUGGCGUAAUGAUGGCCAGGCUGUCUCCACCCGAGACUCAGUGAAAUUGAACUCGCUGUGAAGAUGCAGUGUACCCGCGGCAAGACGGAAAGACCCCGUGAACCUUUACUAUAGCUUGACACUGAACACUGGUCCUUGAUGUGUAGGAUAGGUGGGAGGCUUUGAAGUGUGGACGCCAGUCUGCAUGGAGCCAUCCUUGAAAUACCACCCUUUAAUGGCUGGUGUUCUAACGUGGGCCCGUAAUCCGGGUUGCGGACAGUGUCUGGUGGGUAGUUUGACUGGGGCGGUCUCCUCCUAAAGAGUAACGGAGGAGCACGAAGGUCAGCUAAUCCUGGUCGGACAUCAGGAGGUUAGUGCAAUGGCAUAAGCUGGCUUGACUGCGAGCGUGACGGCGCGAGCAGGUGCGAAAGCAGGUCAUAGUGAUCCGGUGGUUCUGAAUGGAAGGGCCAUCGCUCAACGGAUAAAAGGUACUCCGGGGAUAACAGGCUGAUACCGCCCAAGAGUUCAUAUCGACGGCGGUGUUUGGCACCUCGAUGUCGGCUCAUCACAUCCUGGGGCUGAAGUAGGUCCCAAGGGUAUGGCUGUUCGCCAUUUAAAGUGGUACGCGAGCUGGGUUUAGAACGUCGUGAGACAGUUCGGUCCCUAUCUGCCGUGGGCGCUGGAGAAUUGAGGGGGGCUGCUCCUAGUACGAGAGGACCGGAGUGGACGCAUCACUGGUGUUCGGGUUGUCAUGCCAAUGGCAUUGCCCGGUAGCUAAAUGCGGAAGAGAUAAGUGCUGAAAGCAUCUAAGCACGAAACUUGCCCCGAGAUGAGUUCUCCCUGACUCCUUGAGAGUCCUGAAGGAACGUUGAAGACGACGACGUUGAUAGGCCGGGUGUGUAAGCGCAGCGAUGCGUUGAGCUAACCGGUACUAAUGAACCGUGAGGCUUAACCUU
rnacentral:rRNA from 2 species